AGAGUUUGAUCCUGGCUCAGAUUGAACGCUGGCGGUAUGCUUAACACAUGCAAGUCGAACGGUAACGGUCCUUCGGGAGCCGACGAGUGGCGGACGGGUGAGUAACGCGUAGGAAUCUGCCUGGUAGUGGGGGACAACUCGGAGAAAUCCGAGCUAAUACCGCAUACGCCCUGAGGGGGAAAGCGGGGGAUCUUCGGACCUCGCGCUAUCAGAUGAGCCUGCGUUGGAUUAGCUAGUUGGUGGGGUAAAUGCCUACCAAGGCGACGAUCCAUAGCUGGUCUGAGAGGACGAUCAGCCACACUGGGACUGAGACACGGCCCAGACUCCUACGGGAGGCAGCAGUGGGGAAUAUUGGACAGUGGGCGCAAGCCUGAUCCAGCAAUACCGCGUGUGUGAAGAAGGCCUGAGGGUUGUAAAGCACUUUCAAUAGGGAGGAAAAAGCGUUGGUUAAUAGCCGAUGCCUUGACAUUACCUAUAGAAGAAGCACCGGCUAACUCCGUGCCAGCAGCCGCGGUAAUACGGAGGGUGCGAGCGUUAAUCGGAAUUACUGGGCGUAAAGCGUGCGUAGGCGGUUAUUUAAGUCAGAUGUGAAAGCCCCGGGCUUAACCUGGGAACGGCAUUUGAUACUGGGUAACUUGAGUUUAGGAGAGGAGAGUGGAAUUUCCGGUGUAGCGGUGAAAUGCGUAGAGAUCGGAAGGAACACCAGUGGCGAAGGCGGCUCUCUGGCCUAAAACUGACGCUGAGGUACGAAAGCGUGGGUAGCAAACAGGAUUAGAUACCCUGGUAGUCCACGCCGUAAACGAUGUCAACUAGCCGUUGGGUCUUUAUUAAGACUUAGUGGUGCAGCUAACGCAUUAAGUUGACCGCCUGGGGAGUACGGCCGCAAGGUUAAAACU
rnacentral:rRNA from 1 species